ensembl:rRNA 5S_rRNA 5S ribosomal RNA
GCCAGCAGCUAUAUCACCCUGCAACUCACAACUGGCAACCCACUGAAGCUAAGCAGGUGUGAGCCUGGUCAGUACCUGGAUGGGAGACCUCCUGGGAAAACAAAGGUUGCUUCUGGAA